CUUGCUUCUGAGUAGUAACCAUAAGGGAAAAAAAAGCAGCACUAAGUUUCCUGGGCUUGGGAAUCCUGAAUACACCAGUUCCAGAGAAGGAAGAUAAUGUGGUGUCAACAAAAUACUUGUAAGAAACAAGGAGACAACUAAAAGCCCCACCACAAGGAUUCUCCAAACCUGCAGGAAAUGAGAAGAUGUUUCUGGUACUCAGAAAAAUCAGGAACAUCAUUUUCAAUCUGAAGAAUUAAAUAAGAAAUUCAAUAAAGCAGGAUAAGAAAAUGGCUGGCAUGUUUUCCCAUUACCUAGAAUAGCUCUGUGGAGACCAACCAUUCCAUGAAAACAACUGCAAAACAGGAUAAUCCAGUAAAAACAUCUGCUGAAAGGCAUCAGAAAACUAGCAAGGCAGCAAGACUGAGAAGCCAAGAUAGCAGAAAGAAGGGUGUGCAGAGAGGUCAGCUCAGUAUUCGGUGCCACUUUUCCUUGAGGCAUUUGUCAACUCCUAAACAGCAGCCUAAAGAUGAAGGAGCUGAGCAGAUAUUCUAAGAGUUUCACGGGGAUAAGGAAUAACAUGGAAGCUUAAGACCCAAUAAGAAGCAGACAAAAUAUCCCAGCAUUUCAGUUGGAACCCUGGAUGGGAUUCAUUUCAGGAGUAAUAGGGAACCAGAAACAAAGGACGGUCAUGAAGAUUCAAGCCCACUGAGAUUAGACUAGCUGAUCUGCCUCUACCCUAACUUUCAACCAGAAAGAAAAUAAACCCGCUAGCAGUAACACCAUCUAGAGUCUGGAAUUAUCUCUGAAAAUUUUCACAUACCAUAUCCUGAUUUCAAUAAAAAAUUAUCAGUCAUAUUAAGAAGCAAAAUAAAUGAUCAAAAGCCAAGAGGAAAAAAAUCAAGUAAAAGAAACGAGCCAACAGGAGACAGGACACGGUGGCUCACGCCUGUAAUCCCAGCACCACAAGGUGGGUGGAUCACUUGAGGUCAAGAGUUUGAGAUCUGCCCGGCCAAAAUGGUGAAACCCCAUCUCUACUAAAAAUACAAAAAUUAGCCGGGCAUAGUGGUGGGUGCCUGUAAUCCCAGCUACUUGGGAAGUUGAGGCAUGAGAAUUGCUUCAACCCGGGAGGCGGAGGUUCCAGUGAGCUGAGGUUGUGCCUCUGCACUCCAGCUUGGCUGACAGAGCAAGACUCUGUCAAAAAAAGAAAAAGAAAAAAGAAAAGAAAGAAGCCAACAGGAGAUCCAGAUGUUGAAAGUUUUCGAUAUGGAUUUUUAAAUUACUACAGUUAAUAUGGUCAAGAAAUUUGCUGGUAGUAUGAAUAAUUUCAAAAAAGGACUGGAAAUUUCAGAACAGAAUCAAGUGGAAAUUCUAGAACUGAAAAUUAGAAAAACUGCAAUCAGACAUCAAAAGAUAGGACUAAGGCCAUUUAUGGAAUAUGGUCUGAAAGGUCUAAAAUAUAUGUAACUGGAGUUCCAGAGAAGAGGUAACAAGAGACUAGAACAGAGGUAAUAUCUGAAGAAGAAGUAGCUGAAGAAUUUCCAAGUGAUAAAAGUCACAGUUCACAAAAUACUACUGUGCCCAACUGGGAAAAAUUCAAAACAACCGCCUAACCACAUAAAAAGAAAGCUAUCUAAAAAGACAAAGAGGAAAAUCUUUGCAGAUAGAAAAAAAAACACACAUAAUACUUUUAAAAGGAAUAAUCAUCAGUCUGACAGUUAAUUUCACAAUUGAAAUAUUGGAAGCCAGAUGACAACAAGCAUCUUCAAAACAUUAAAAGAAAAUAACUGCAGCCUAGAAUUUUGUAUCUAACAAAAAUAUUCCCCCAAAUAAAUGUUAAAUAAAAACAUUUUUAUACAAGCACAAAACGAAAAGAAAAUGUUACCAGUAGGGCUGCAGCAAAACAAAUUCUAAAGGGAGCCCUUGAAGUCAAAAAAAAUAAUUUCAAGUGAAAGCACAGAAAGAACAAAGAAUAAAUAAAUACAUAAAUAGCAAUGAAAAAAACUAAAUGAAUAUUAAACAUGUAAAAUAACAAUCAUAUAUUGAGGAGUUUAUAGAAUAAUAUACAAAUAGCACUAAAAUAAAUGACAAUAGAAGAAAAUGGGAGAAGUAGAAAAGUAAAGUGAAAUCAUUUUAAAACCUUAGAUUGUCCAAAAAGUGGAAAAAUUACUAAUUUUUAUUAGAAUUAAAUAAGCCAGGAAUUCAUGUAUAAUCUCUAGAGUAACACCUAAAAAAAUUAGCAGUAAAAGAAUGGUGAAGAAGAAAAAAAGAAAAAUUAAUUUUUAAGAAAGAAGAGGAAAAUAACAGGUAAGAACAAAGAAAAAAACACACAUUGACAAAUUUUGAAGGAUUGAACUUAUACAGCGUGUGGUCACUGGAAAUGAGUUAGAAAUCAAUAAUAGAAUGUAAACAAAAAACUAUCAAAUAUUGAAAAAUUAAGCAAUACUCUCCUAAAAAGUCCCAUAGCUAAAGGGCGAAAUCCCAAUGAAGUUAGAAUACACACUGAGCUGGAUGAUAAUAAAAUAUUACAUAUCAAAACUUAUAAAAUGCAGCUAUGGAUGUGCUUUAAGAAAAAAUGAUCAUCUUCAAUACAUCUAUUCUAGAAAACAGAAGGGCUAAAAAUCAGUGAUUGAAGUAUUCACCUAAAGAAGAUAGAAAAAUAAUAGUAGAUUAGACCCCAAUAAGUUAGAAAGAAAGAGUAACAAAGAUUCAAACAGAAAUUGAGUCAGGACAAAAAAUGCAAUGAAGGUAAGUAAAAUCCAAAGUUGUUCCUUGAAAAGGCAAAUAAAUGUAUAACCUUUGUAAAAACUAAUAAAGAAUAAAAACAGUGAAGUUACUGAUUACCAACAGAAAGACUAAAAAGGAAUGUCACCAUAAAGUCAACAUUUAUUAGACAGAUUAAGAGAAUUUUAAGAACAAUUUUGUGCUAACAAAUUUGAAAACUUACAUUAAAACACAUUUUAUCAAAAUUGAUACAGUAGAAAAUAAUUGGAAUAAUUCUAUACUAACAAUAAUUUUGAAUCUGAAAUUAAAACCUUGCCACAAAGAAAAUUCAGACCCAUAUGUAUUUAUUAAUGAAUUUCUCUAAACAUUUAAGAAAUAAAUAACACCACUUACACAAUCUAUUGUGUAGAAUAGAAGAGAGAACACUUUUCAUCUCAUGUUGUGAAUCCAAGACACCCUGAUGAGUAUAUUAUAAAAAAGGAAACUUCUAACUCAAACAUUCUGAAGCAAUAUCAGCAACCUAAUCUGGUGAUUUCUAAAAAGAAUAACAUAUCACAACUAAGUAGGUUUUAUUUAGGAACAGACCCUUGAAUUUCAAUCAUGAUAACUCAGUACAAUAAUAAAGGAGAAAUUAUCCUGUCACUAUCUCAAUAGAUGCAGCAACAAACAGAUGUUGAAUUUUUUGAUAAAAUCCAAUGCCCAUUUAUGAUAAAAACUUCCUAACUAGCAAUAGAAAGAAAUUUCUUUAAUAUGAUAGAGUAUUUACAAGAUAAUCUUGAGAAAGUUUUCAGAAUUAACAUCAAGAGAAGGAAAACUACAGCCAAAUUGUAAAAAAAAAAUUCUCAGAUGAAAUUAUGAAGUUUAUAAGGCCCAGUUUUCAAAGCCUUCAUUUUCACAGGCCCCUAUAAGUGUUAGGAAUUGCUGGGGAUUGUAGAGAAUUCUGGAGAGAGAGCAAAGUGGGUUGCAACCAAGAAACAUUUAUAUGUUAACAUGUCUGGAAAAUUGUGUAAAGUUGCCUCAGAAGAAAUGAAAAAUCUCUAAGUUUCCAAUAAUUUGUGGUACAUAUUUCUUAAUCUAAAUAAAUAUUCAUUUUCAUACUGUAUAUUACUGCAUUCUCACACUACUAUAAAGAACUAUCUUAGAAGGGGUAAUAUAUGAAGAAAGGAGGCUUAAUUGGCUCACAGUUCUGCAGGCUUAACAGGAAGCAUGGGUGGGAAGCCUCAGGAAACUUACAAUCAUGGCAGAAGGCAAAGGGAAAGUAAGCAUGUCUUGUCAUGGCAGACCAGUAGUGAGAGAGAAGGGGGAAGGGCCACACUCUUUUAAGCCAUCAGAUCUUGUGAGAACUCACUCACUAUCAUGAGAACAGCAAGGAGGAAAUCCACCCCCAUGCUCCAAUCAUCUCCCAUCAGGCCCCUUCUCCUGUUUGACAUGAGAUUUGGGUAAGGACACAAAUCCAAAUGAUAUCACAUACCUUUAAAAAGCAUUUUCAAAAACCUAUGAUAAAUAUCAUAUUUAAUGGAGAAAUAUUGAAAACUUUUUAUCUGACAUUGCAAAGGAGACAGGUUCCCCUUAUUAACAACAGUUUUAUUUAACAUUGGUAGGAAAAAGAUCCUAGCAUGUAUAAUAAUGCAAGAAAAAUAAUACAUAUAAAGAUUAGAAAGAAAAACUGUCAUUACUUAUAGAUUGUAUUAUAUCCAAGCUGCAAGAUAAUCCAUAGGAAAAUUAUUGUGAUUAAAUGAAUUUAGAAAAAUCACAGAGUUCAAGGUCAAUAUGAAAAAUCUCUGUUUAUAUACCAAUAAGUGAUUAAAAAUGAUAUUUUAAAAAUUAUAUCAUUAACAAUUAUAUCAAAAGACCAAAUAUCUAGAAAUAAAUUAACAAAUGUGCAAAACUCUACACAAAAAAUAUGAAACAUUAUUUAAAAAAAUUUCAAAAGACCUAAAUAAAAGGAAGACAUUCAAUACCAUAAACAUGUAUAUUAUUUUUAAAUUAUUCUAUAAAGAGUAUCUCCAAUACUGAAGGAAAUAAUGUAUACAAUGGCCCAUGGUCCAUUUCCAAGACGAAGUGCCUUAAAUAGACUUACGUUAGCAAACUACAGAAGAAACAGAACAUACUAGGCCCCUGCUUGGAUAGCCCAUGCCUGCUUGUUGGCCUCCCCCUCCCCCACUCCGCCUCCACAACCCUGUUUCCUUGCCUUCACCAGAACCAAAGAAGUUUAGUCUAAGAUAAAAGUUUACUAGCCUGCAAAAUAGUUCGUUUUGUCUGUUUUUAUUAGCCUGCCCAGCUACUUAGCUCAUAAGUAAAUACUUGAAGAGCCCCUGAGCUAACUAGGAUUGCAAUGCAUUGUGGGCUGCAACAAAAUGCCGCAAAACAACCCUAAAAACAAACAAAACACCUAAAGCCCCUGCCCAACAAUCAAUAGGUGACGUCCAGGAAGAUUGUGACCCCCUAGUAUUCAGCCUAUGAAAAACCGGGAGAGGGACCUGCACACUAGGAGUUAAAUUGCUUGUUAAAACUGUGCUGUGUGUGCCUGCACAUCAGACACCCAAUUCUUGCAAGAGCAUCAUUAAAAGUUUCACUUUCGCUGUUCUCCAGGUCUCUGAGUCCAUUCUUUGGGUUUGGACAGGUAGGUUUGUUUCUCACAAUACCAGGUAUAAUACCAGUAGAAUGUUUCAUAUAAUUUAACAAGUUCAUUAUAAAAUGUACUUGAAAUUGCAAAGAGCCACAAAAAAAACCCAGACAAUAUUGAUGAAGAAAAGACGAAGUCAGAGGACCUAUACUACAAGAUAUCAAUAUAAAUUAUAAAGGUACCAUAAUUAAAACUGUGGAACUGGAGUAAACAUGGACAAGUAGACCAAUGUAGUUAAAAACAAUUCUGAAAAAGACCCACACAUAUAUAGAUGCUUGAUUUAUUACCAUGUUGCUACUGUAAACAAGGGAAAACUGUUUUUUAAAAUAAAUUAUGCUGAGUCAGGCCAGGCACAGUGGCUCGCGCCUGCAAUCCCAGCACUUUGGGAGGCCAAGGUUGGCUGAUCACUUGAGGCCAGGAGUUCAAGACCAGCCUGACAAACAUGGCAAAACCCCUAUCUCUACUAAAAUUAUGAACAUUAGACUGGCUCGGUGGCACACGCCUGUAAUCCCACCUAUGUUGGGUGGCUGAGGCAUGAGAAUUACUUGAACCCAGGAGGCAGAGGUUGCAAUGAGCCAAGAUAGUGCCAAUGCACUCCAGCCUGAGUGACAGAGUGAGAUUCUGUCUCUAAUAAAAAAAAAAAAAAAAGAAAAAGAAAAGAAAAGAAAAAAGAAAUUAUGCUGAGUCAGUAGAAUAUCCAUAGUGAAAAAUAUUAACCCUUCCUUCAUACUAAAUACCAUUUUAGGUGAAUUGAAGAUUAGUAUGAAAGAAAAAAUAGAGUUUCUAAAAAAAUAAUGUUAGUAUUUUUAUGACUUUUGGGUAGGCAAAAGUUUCUUAAGCAGAGCACAAAAAGCACUAGCCAUAAAAGAAAAGACUAAGAAAUUGAGAAAUUAGACCACGUUAAAAUUAAGAAUUCCUGUUUAUCACAAGACAAAUUAAGAAAGUGAAAGGCAAGUCUCAGAGGUAUUAUUUGCAAUAAAUAUAACAAAGAAAGAAUUCACAUUGAGAGUAUAUCAAGAACUUAGAAAAAUCAAUUUUUUCAAUACGACAGAAAACUUGAUUUUAAGAUAGGCAAAUUUAGUCUUGCUAACUUUCAGGGAGACACGAAUUAAAGCUAAAACGAAAUACCACUGCAUAUCAAACAAAAUGGUCAAAAUACAAAACGACUCAUAUGUCAAGUAUUGUAAAGGAUAUGGACAGAGCAACUGGAACUCGAAGUCACUGCUAAUGGGAGUGUAAAUUGGUAUAAUCCCUUUGGAAAACUGUUUGCCAGUAUCUACUAAAGCUGUAUGUUUGCAUAUCAUAUCACCCAGCAAUUCCAUUUGUAGAUCUGCGCCUGACAGAAGUGUGUACAAAUGUGAACUGAAAGACAUUUACAAAGUGCUUAUGGCACUGUUAUUCUUAAUAGCCUCAAAUUAGAGAAAAUUCAAGUGUCUAUCAACAGUAGAACAAAUAUAUUCUAGUAUAUUUAUUCAAUGUAACACUAUGUAGCCAUGAAAUAAACAUGUGUAGCAACAUUCCACAUGGAUGAAUCUCUCCACAGUAUUGAGUGAAAGAAGCCAGACACAAAAGAAUAUGUACUAUAAGAUUCCAUUUAUAUAUUUAUAUAAUGUACAAGCAGGGUCAAAGCUAAUCUACAGAGCUUAAACCUCAAGGUAUUAUCUGUGGCUUGUUAGAAACUGGGCUACACAGCAGGAAGUGAGUGGCAGGCGAGUGAGCAUUACCGCCCGAGCUCCAUCUCCUGUCUGAUCAGCGGUGGCAUCAGAUUCUCAUAGGAGUGUGAACCCUAUUGUGAAAUGUCCAUGCGAGGGAUCUAGGUUUCAUGCUCCUUAGAAGAAUGAUGAUCUAGGCAGGCACGGUGGCUCACACCUGUAAUCCCAGCACUUUGGGAGGCCGAGGAGGUCGGAUCACAAGGUCAGGAGAUCGAGACCAUCCUGGCCAACACGGUGAAACCCCAUCUCUACUAAAAAUACAAAGAAUUAGCCGGGCAGGAUUUCAUUCAGACCAUGCUAGAAAGAUGAUUACCUGAUGUUUUCUUAUGGUUUCUCCCUUAAUCAUUCAUCAUUCCAUCUAGCUGUGUUAGAGUGUUAAUGGUUUUGAAUUUCUCAUUUAUAUCUUUGGGUCAGUAAAUUGAAUUUAAUCCAGAUUAUAUUUUUGGGUAAAGAGAAACUUAAAAAAAAGCUUUAAAAUUAAGGGAUCUACAAACAUGAUCCCUUCCCAUGAAAUUAAAAUUUGAUACAAAGUCUAUCAGGAAAACUUCUAACCUUUAAGAUUUGUCAGGAAAAUUGUGAAACACUGAAAUAUGCAAAAUAUUAGUGGAUGUCCUAUCUAGUAUACCCUUCCAGAUUAUCUGAGUCAGUCAGAAUAUGAGCCUCACAUUGUCUUUCUGCUACUUUACAACCAUGUAGUUGUAAGGCACAGAAUAAUACAAACAAUUCUUUUCCAUAAAAAUGCAAAUAAAUUGUGUCCAGUGAAAUGAAAUGGAUAAUUGGCCUGUGGCUAUUAACCAGUUUUGCGUCUGUUUCACAUUCAUUUCAGCAUCCUUGAUUGCCCAUAUAUGUGUGCUCUUAAAAUUCUCCUUUGAAUUAUUUGUAACAUCUUACUGAUCCCCUCAUUAAUUAAUGAGCUUAAUAAAGUCUUUGAUACCCAUUCUUUUUACAUUUGAAUAAAAGACAUGAUUUUAACCUUUCUUUAAAAGUAUCCCUUGACAGAAUCUAUCAUUAAAAGUAUGACUUUUGAUCCACCUUCCAUAAACAGGCUUUCCUAAAAUUUCCAUUAAGUCAUAAGCCAUCCCAUUCAAAUUACUCAAAAUAAAAUACUGCAGCAUCAAUAUUUUGAAUCCAAAUAUGAAUGAAUCCAAAGCACCAUCAUUAUAUGAUAUAAGUUUACUAUUUAUAUAUCCCUAGAAGCAAAAAGGCUGCCAAUUAAACUAAGACAUAAUGCUUUUUUAUCAAUUAGAUUUCAUUUUUUGGAUAUCUGUAUCAUAUAUUCCACUGUUCUGCCCCAUGCCUCUCAUGUAGAUAGAUGAGUAUAUAUUACUUAUCCUUCUAAGCCUAAAUCAUAGGAUUUGGGAAUCAUCAGAAUACCUGAAGUGCAUAUAACUCAAUUAAACUUUGACAUUAUGACCACAUUCACACAUGCACAGAUAACAACUCCAUCAAAACCACCACCUACCCAACAUGGAUUUUGAGUCCAUCAAUUCAAAGAAGCAUCCCAGUUUCAGGUAUGUUCAAAUAUGAAAAAAUAGACAUCUUAGAAUGCAUAAAACACCACAAAUAUAAGUGCAAAAACAUAUAGCAGGAUUAUAAAUGGCAAAUAGCUUACAAUCAGAAAACCUGUCACUAGAGGGUCAUCAUUUCCUUAAAUAGUAACACUAGAAUAAUCCACACAGACUGCUAGAAAUUUAUGAAUCUUAAAACUGACAGUCAAAAUCUCAAUGAAGCCAAAUAACUCUUUAGGGCAAGAAAAGGUGAGAUCCUUGACUGAACUAAGGUUAUUCAAUCUCUUGUUUACUAAAACAGUGGUAGGGGUGGUUUGGUCUCUAGCAGAAGGGCAAACAAGAUGGUAUCACAUAAUGCAGCUGGCUUAAAGCAAAAUAAUAAAAAUGAAAAAACACUCAUUCCUCUACUUCUAAGAAAAUUAUAUUCUUCCUUUUUGAUGUACUGCUGACAUUCCUUUCCUCUCUUCAAUCCUAGAUUAGUUAACAGCUUGUAAAACUGCUGUUAUUAUAAUGACAAUCUCAAUCAACUAUAUCAUAAGGCUUUUUGCCUAAAGGAUCAUCUCUCCAAGUUGUAAUCUCUUUGAAGACUAAGGAGACAAAAGUCUCUCUUGAACACUAAGGUCUUUUCCAAAUUAAAAAAAAAUAUUCUAAAUAUUUAUGAACGAUAUCAAUCAGACUUCCUGCUAAAUAUUACUUCUUAGUUUUUAGGCUUUUGUAAUAUGUUAUAAAAGUUUCCAUUGUCUUUGUAUUGUUGAAGGCUACAAUAUUGCCUAGCACAUAGUAACAGCAAAUAAAUGUUGGUAAACUAGAAACUGACUCUCACAGUGGCCUUGAUUCUCACAGUUAACCUAGAAGUAAGUACCGCAACAAUGUUUAUUCCCAUUUCAUAUAUAAAGAAACUGAAGGUUGGAGAAUUUAGGGUUUUGCUCUAAAAUCACAGUUAAUAAGUGGCAUUGUCAAAACUGAAUCCCAGGCCCUUUGUCUCCAAGACCAGAGCAAUUCUUACAGUAACAGACUGAACAUCCCAUGCCUAGAUUUCCUUCCCUCUCUCUUCUCUUACCUACUACAUGAUACUUGACUCAGGAUUCUGGUUUGCUGAAUUACUGAAACCACAUCAACAGUGAGUCAAUGGUAAUUCUCUACCUGGUUACAUUUACAUUUUAGCACAGAUAUUGUAAGAUAAGGUGCAGCAGAGAUUAUUGGAAAUACACAUAUUGACAGUCAGAUAGCUCACUUCUAGUGGAACUAGAAUAUUUAAUUUUCCUGUGUCUCAAGUCCUUUAUCUGCAAAAGCAGGUGAAAUGCAGAUGAUCAAUAAGGUCUUUUCCUAACUAAAAACCUAACAUUCUAAAUAUUUAUCAAUUAUACAAAAUCAGAUCACCUGCUACAUUUUACUUAAUACUGGCCUUGAAAAAAAAAAGAAAACUAUAAAAACCUGUCUGUUAGAUUCUGCAGUGGGCCAAAAACAGAAUAUAUAAACAAAAAUUUAAAUAUAUUCCAACCGUACUACUUGACUAAGGACACUGUCUGUACCAAUUUAAAACUAGAAGGUUUUAAGGAUAAAUGAGAUCUAUACAGGCACAAUUGUCACAGCAGUCCUUCUAGGUAUACAAGAUACUGAAACAUUUUACUGGCCUAUAACUUACUUUUUCAUACAUGGCAAAACUAUAUUUUUCUCAUUACAAAUGCCCUAGCUCUCCCCACAAAGUUAUUGUGAAGUCUCCAAAUAUUGCUAAUUUGUCCCUUAAAGCAAAAAUAUAAAACACUUUGUGACAUAUGAAAAAUGUUCACCAUGUCCUUUAGUUGCUUCAAGAUAUAGCAUAUAAAUCUUUGAGUUUCUAAACAGAACCAUACUAUCUAGAUAUUUUUGUCUAAAAGAUUUAAAGCUUAAAUGUGCUACCUUUUUUUCUCUCUUGCAGCUUUCAAGUCACUUAGCCUGCUCCAGUCUCCAAG
rnacentral:lncRNA from 10 species